GAUGAACGCUGGCGGCGUGCUUAACAUAUGCAAGUCGAACGGUGAAGGCGGAGCUUGCUCUGCUGGAUCAGUGGCGAACGGGUGAGUAACACGUGAGCAAUCUGCCCCUGACUCUGGGAUAAGCGCUGGAAACGGCGUCUAAUACUGGAUACGAGCUGCGAAGGCAUCUUCAGCAGCUGGAAAGAAUUUCGGUCAGGGAUGAGCUCGCGGCCUAUCAGCUUGUUGGUGAGGUAAUGGCUCACCAAGGCGUCGACGGGUAGCCGGCCUGAGAGGGUGACCGGCCACACUGGGACUGAGACACGGCCCAGACUCCUACGGGAGGCAGCAGUGGGGAAUAUUGCACAAUGGGCGAAAGCCUGAUGCAGCAACGCCGCGUGAGGGACGACGGCCUUCGGGUUGUAAACCUCUUUUAGCAGGGAAGAAGCGAAAGUGACGGUACCUGCAGAAAAAGCGCCGGCUAACUACGUG
rnacentral:rRNA from 1 species